rnacentral:rRNA from 1 species
UACGAAGGGGGCUAGCGUUGCUCGGAAUGACUGGGCGUAAAGGGCGCGUAGGCGGAUGGCACAGUCAGAUGUGAAAUUCCCGGGCUUAACCUGGGGGCUGCAUUUGAUACGUGUGAUCUAGAGUGAGGAAGAGGGUCGUGGAAUUCCCAGUGUAGAGGUGAAAUUCGUAGAUAUUGGGAAGAACACCGGUGGCGAAGGCGGUUCUCUGGGCAUUACCUGACGCUGAGGAGCGAAAGUGUGGGGAGCGAACAGG